rnacentral:rRNA from 1 species
GAUGAACGCUGGCGGCGUGCCUAAUACAUGCAAGUCGAGCGAACAGAUGAGGAGCUUGCUCCUCUGACGUUAGCGGCGGACGGGUGAGUAACACGUGGAUAACCUACCUAUAAGACUGGGAUAACUUCGGGAAACCGGAGCUAAUACCGGAUAAUAUAUUGAACCGCAUGGUUCAAUAGUGAAAGACGGUUUUGCUGUCACUUAUAGAUGGAUCCGCGCCGCAUUAGCUAGUUGGUAAGGUAACGGCUUACCAAGGCAACGAUGCGUAGCCGACCUGAGAGGGUGAUCGGCCACACUGGAACUGAGACACGGUCCAGACUCCUACGGGAGGCAGCAGUAGGGAAUCUUCCGCAAUGGGCGAAAGCCUGACGGAGCAACGCCGCGUGAGUGAUGAAGGUCUUCGGAUCGUAAAACUCUGUUAUUAGGGAAGAACAAAUGUGUAGGUAACUAUGCACGUCUUGACGGUACCUAAUCAGAAAGCCACGGCUAACUACGUG